rnacentral:rRNA from 1 species
CAUGUCUUUUUGAUAAUAAUUUAAAGUUUAAUCUGCUCAAUGAUUUUAAAUAGCCGCAGUAUUUUAACUGUGCAAAGGUAGCAUAAUAAUUAGUUCUUUAAAUGGGGGAUUGUAUGAAUGAUUGGACGAGAAAAUUUCUGUCUUAAGUAAAUUGAUUUUUGAAUUUUAUUUUUAAGUUAAAAAGCUUAAAUAAUUUUAAAAGACGAGAAGACCCUAUAGAGUUUAAUAUUUUAAGUUUUUUUAAUUUUAGAAAUUAAGAAAUUUUUAAUUUAUUUAGUUGGGGUGACUUGAAGAUUAAAAAAAUUCUUUAAAUAGAAAUUAAUGAUAUUUAAAUUUCGAGUUUAUAAGUUAAAAACAAAUUACCUUAGGGAUAACAGCGUAAUAUUUCUUUAGAGCUCUUAUUUGAAGAAAUUUUUGCGACCUCGAUGUUGGAUUAAAAUUUAUUUUUGGAGUAGUAGCUUAAAAAUUAGGUCUGUUCGACCUUUAAAAUUUUACAUGAUCUGAGUUUAGACCGGCGUGAGCCAGGUUGGAUUCUAUCUUUACAUAAAUUUUUUAUUUUAGUACGAAAGGACCAAAUAAAAUUUAUAUUUA